rnacentral:rRNA from 1 species
AUAUGCAUUUGUAUGAUUAACAAUGCGAAAGAUUCAGGAUACCUUCGGGACCCGUCUUGAAACACGGACCAAGGAGUCUAACAUAUGUGCAAGUUAUUGGGAGAUAAACCUAAUAGCGUAAUUAACUUGACUAAUAAUGGGAUUAGUUUUUUAACUAUUUAUAGAUAAUUAACACAAUCCCGGGGCGUUCUAUAUAGUUAUGUAUAAUAAUAUUUAUAUUAUUUAUGCCUCUAACUGGAACGUACCUUGAGCAUAUAUGCUGUGACCCGAAAGAUGGUGAACUAUACUUGAUCAGGUUGAAGUCAGGGGAAACCCUGAUGGAAGACCGAAACAGUUCUGACGUGCAAAUCGAUUGUCAGAAUUGAGUAUAGGGGCGAAAGACCAAUCGAACCAUCUAGUAGCUGGUUCCUUCCGAAGUUUCCCUCAGGAUAGCUGGUGCAUUUUAAUGUUAUAUAAAAUAAUCUUAUCUGGUAAAGCGAAUGAUUAGAGGCCUUAGGGUCGAAACGAUCUUAACCUAUUCUCAAACUUUAAAUGGGUAAGAACCUUAACUUUCUUGAUAUGAAGUUUAAGGUUAUGAUAUAAUGUGCCCAGUGGGCCACUUUUGGUAAGCAGAAACUGGCGCUGUGGGAUGAACCAAACGUAAUGUUACGGUGCCCAAAUUAACAACUCAUGCAGAAACCAUGAAAGGCGUUGGUUGCUUAAAACAGCAGGACGGUGAUCAUGGAAGUCGAAAUCCGCUAAGGAGUGUGUAACAACUCACCUGCCGAAGCAACUAGCCCUUAAAAUGGAUGGCGCUUAAGUUGUAUACCUAUACAUUACCGCUAAAGUAGAUGAUUUAUAUUACUUGUGAUAUAAAUUUUGAAACUUUAGUGAGUAGGAAGGUACAAUGGUAUGCGUAGAAGUGUUUGGCGUAAGCCUUCAUGGAGCUGCCAUUGGCACAGAUCUUGGUGGUAGUAGCAAAUAAUCGAAUGAGACCUUGGAGGACUGAAGUGGAGAAGGGUUUCGUGUGAACAGUGGUUGAUCACGAGUUAGUCGGUCCUAAGUUCAAGGCGAAAGCCGAAAAUUUUCAAGUAAAAAAUCAGUGAGUAAUAUUGUCAAAUCUUUUAUGAUUUUUAAAUACUUGAAUAAUUUUGAACGAAAGGGAAUACGGUUCCAAUUCCGUAACCUGUUGAGUAUCCGUUUGUUAUUAAAUAUGGGCCUCGUGCUCAUCCUGGCAACAGGAACGACCAUAAAGAAGCCGUCGAGAGAUAUCGGAAGAGUUUUCUUUUCUGUUUUAUAGCCGUACUACCAUGGAAGUCUUUCGCAGAGAGAUAUGGUAGAUGGGCUAGAAGAGCAUGACAUAUACUGUUGUGUCGAUAUUUUCUCCUCGGACCUUGAAAAUUUAUGGUGGGGACACGCAAACUUCUCAACAGGCCGUACCAAUAUCCGCAGCUGGUCUCCAAGGUGAAGAGUCUCUAGUCGAUAGAAUAAUGUAGGUAAGGGAAGUCGGCAAAUUAGAUCCGUAACUUCGGGAUAAGGAUUGGCUCUGAAGAUUGAGAUAGUCGGGCUUGAUUGGGAAACAAUAACAUGGUUUAUGUGCUCGUUCUGGGUAAAUAGAGUUUCUAUCAUUUAUGGUAGUUACUUGUUCCCCGGAUAGUUUAGUUACGUAGCCAAUUGUGGAACUUCUUGCUAAAAUUUUUAAGAAUACUAAUUGGGUUAAACCAGUUAGUUCUUAUUAAUUAUAACGAUUAUCAAUUAACAAUCAAUUCAGAACUGGCACGGACUUGGGGAAUCCGACUGUCUAAUUAAAACAAAGCAUUGUGAUGGCCCUAGCGGGUGUUGACACAAUGUGAUUUCUGCCCAGUGCUCUGAAUGUCAAAGUGAAGAAAUUCAAGUAAGCGCGGGUCAACGGCGGGAGUAACUAUGACUCUCUUAAGGUAGCCAAAUGCCUCGUCAUCUAAUUAGUGACGCGCAUGAAUGGAUUAACGAGAUUCCUACUGUCCCUAUCUACUAUCUAGCGAAACCACAGCCAAGGGAACGGGCUUGGAAUAAUUAGCGGGGAAAGAAGACCCUUUUGAGCUUGACUCUAAUCUGGCAGUGUAAGGAGACAUAAGAGGUGUAGCAUAAGUGGGAGAUAUUAGAUUUCGGUUUGGUAUCGACAAUGAAAUACCACUACUCUUAUUGUUUCCUUACUUACUUGAUUAAAUGGAACGUGUAUCAUUUCCUAGCCAUUAUACGGAUAUAUUUAUUAUAUCUUAUGGUAUUGGGUUUUGAUGCAAGCUUCUUGAUCAAAGUAUCACGAGUUGUUAUAUAAUCGCAAACAAAUUCUUUAAUGAGAAAAUGCAUUUAUGUAUUUUCAAUUUGAAAAUUUGGUAUAACUCCAAUUACUCAGGUAUGAUCCAAUUCAAGGACAUUGCCAGGUAGGGAGUUUGACUGGGGCGGUACAUCUCUCAAAUAAUAACGGAGGUGUCCCAAGGCCAGCUCAGUGCGGACAGAAACCACACAUAGAGCAAAAGGGCAAAUGCUGACUUGAUCUCGGUGUUCAGUACACACAGGGACAGCAAAAGCUCGGCCUAUCGAUCCUUUUGGUUUAAAGAGUUUUUAACAAGAGGUGUCAGAAAAGUUACCAUAGGGAUAACUGGCUUGUGGCGGCCAAGCGUUCAUAGCGACGUCGCUUUUUGAUCCUUCGAUGUCGGCUCUUCCUAUCAUUGUGAAGCAAAAUUCACCAAGCGUUGGAUUGUUCACCCAUGCAAGGGAACGUGAGCUGGGUUUAGACCGUCGUGAGACAGGUUAGUUUUACCCUACUAAUGACAAAACGUUGUUGCGACAGCAUUCCUGCGUAGUACGAGAGGAACCGCAGGUACGGACCAAUGGCACAAUACUUGUUCGAGCGAACAGUGGUAUGACGCUACGUCCGUUGGAUUAUGCCUGAACGCCUCUAAGGUCGUAUCCGUGCUGGACUGCAAUGAUAAAUAAGGGGCAAUUUGCAUUGU